UACGAAGGGGGCUAGCGUUGUUCAGAAUUACUGGGCGUAAAGCGCACGUAGGCGGAUUAUUAAGUCAGGGGUGAAAUCCCGGGGCUCAACCCCGGAACUGCCUUUGAUACUGGUAGUCUCGAGUCCGGAAGAGGUGAGUGGAAUUCCGAGUGUAGAGGUGAAAUUCGUAGAUAUUCGGAGGAACACCAGUGGCGAAGGCGGCUCACUGGUCCGGUACUGACGCUGAGGUGCGAAAGCGUGGGGAGCAAACAGG
rnacentral:rRNA from 1 species